AUGAGGUCUCCCACAGGGUUAACCUGGUAAGGCCCCCGACUAGACCAUCGGGUUGAUAGGCCGGAAGUGGAAGUGCGGUAACGCAUGGAGCUGACCGGUACUAAUAGGCCGAGGACUUGCCACAUA
rnacentral:rRNA from 1 species